GACGAACGCUGGCGGCGUGCUUAACACAUGCAAGUCGAACGGAAAGGCCCUGCUUUUGUGGGGUGCUCGAGUGGCGAACGGGUGAGUAACACGUGAGUAACCUGCCCUUGACUUUGGGAUAACUUCAGGAAACUGGGGCUAAUACCGGAUAGGAGCUCCUGCUGCAUGGUGGGGGUUGGAAAGUUUCGGCGGUUGGGGAUGGACUCGCGGCUUAUCAGCUUGUUGGUGGGGUAGUGGCUUACCAAGGCUUUGACGGGUAGCCGGCCUGAGAGGGUGACCGGCCACAUUGGGACUGAGAUACGGCCCAGACUCCUACGGGAGGCAGCAGUGGGGAAUAUUGCACAAUGGGCGGAAGCCUGAUGCAGCAACGCCGCGUGCGGGAUGACGGCCUUCGGGUUGUAAACCGCUUUCGCCUGUGACGAAGCGUGAGUGACGGUAAUGGGUAAAGAAGCACCGGCUAACUACGUGCCAGCAGCCGCGGUGAUGCGUAGGGUGCGAGCGUUGUCCGGAUUUAUUGGGCGUAAGGCUCGUAGGUGGUUGAUCGCGUCGGAAGUGUAAUCUUGGGGCUUAACCCUGAGCGUGCUUUCGAUACGGGUUGACUUGAGGAAGGUAGGGGAGAAUGGAAUUCCUGGUGGAGCGGUGGAAUGCGCAGAUAUCAGGAGGAACACCAGUGGCGAAGGCGGUUCUCUAGGCCUUUCCUGACGCUGAUGAGCGAAAGCGUGGGGAGCGAACAGGCUUAGAUACCCUGGUAGUCCACGCUGUAAACGGUGGGUACUAGGUGUGGGGUCCAUUCCACGGGUUCCGUGCCGUAGCUAACGCUUUAAGUACCCCGCCUGGGGAGUACGGCCGCAAGGCUAAAACUCAAAGGAAUUGACGGGGCCCCGCACAAGCGGCGGAGCAUGCGGAUUAAUUCGAUGCAACGCGUAGAACCUUACCUGGGUUUGACAUGGAUCGGGAGUGCUCAGAGAUGGGUGUGCCUCUUUUGGGGUCGGUUCACAGGUGGUGCAUGGCUGUCGUCAGCUCGUGUCGUGAGAUGUUGGGUUAAGUCCCGCAACGAGCGCAACCCUUGUUCACUGUUGCCAGCACGUUAUGGUGGGGACUCAGUGGAGACCGCCGGGGUCAACUCGGAGGAAGGUGGGGAUGACGUCAAGUCAUCAUGCCCCUUAUGUCCAGGGCUUCACGCAUGCUACAAUGGCUGGUACAGAGAGUGGCGAGCCUGUAAGGGUGAGCGAAUCUCGGAAAGCCGGUCUCAGUUCGGAUUGGGGUCUGCAACUCGACCUCAUGAAGUCGGAGUCGCUAGUAAUCGCAGAUCAGCAACGCUGCGGUGAAUACGUUCCCGGG
rnacentral:rRNA from 1 species